rnacentral:lncRNA from 1 species
GUUUAAACACUUGAUGUAGGUCAGUCCUAAGUUGAUCCCUGAGAACUGAGGAUGUGCACAAUUAAAUUGCAUCUUCAAAGAAGCUUUUUAAAGUUGUAGGGAAUACAUGGGGCCAGGCCAGCUGGACAAUUUUCUCUCAGUGGUUCAAGGCUUUCUCCUGGCAACUGGCAUGUGCCCUUGUUAAAAAGGGAGCAGAGGAAUGAGUGUGCUAAAAUGCAGUUAAAGAGAAGCAGCUCCCUUUCAGUUUAUGGCAGAGCUGUCCUUGUCCAUGCGUAGAUUUCACACUAUGUAGUGACGAGGAAAAGUAUAUGAACAGAUUUUAGUGGAGCACUUGGAGUCCAACACUCUGCCCUUUGGACUGAAUUACUAAUGCUGAAAGAUUGGCUCCUGAAAUGGUUCUGAAAAGCUGAAAACUAGUUCAGUUUUUGUGAUGAGCUCCUGUUGCUAUGUUCUCCUACCACAGGGAAGCUAAGGCAUCUCAGAUGGUUUACAGAAUGAGUCUACAAAGCCCUCUCAUAAAUGAUGGCUGUUCUGAAUAAAUUUAUUUGAUGUCUAAAAAGGAGUAUAUACCAGAGCAACUUGCCAGUCUCAUGAGUUUUGCCUUCGUAUAAAUUACUGUUGAUCUUCCACAGGUGUGCAGGCUGGCUGUGGCACUGCUGAGCUUAUCAGGUUUCCCUGAGUUUGGCAGUGGGUCUUGAUAAGCAAGGGAUGCUCAUUAUGUUCAGUAGUUGGGUUCUUUUUCAUGCACUUCUACUUACACAAAUAAGUGAAGUUGAAUAUUGCUAUGCUGUUACUUUCAGAAUUGCAUGUUUUGCUAUUCUACUUGCAUCAACUUUUGUCUCUUCUUUGGAGCAGCUUUGAUGAAAAAAGAAUUCAGAAGAACACUGUUUCAGGGGCUGAAACUUUUGGUAUGGCACUGGCAGCAAGGGUCAGUUGCUGCAAGAAUUGUCUAAAAUAGUGCAUCCUCUGAAACCUCUGCUCUAUUUGUAAAAGCACUUCUCUGCAGAGUUGCAUAGACUGCCAAGUAUGCUGGGAGCUGCUUAUUCAGGGCCUGCUCUUUACAUUGCUGUGCUGUCUUCAUGAGCCUCAAGAGCAUCAGCAGUAUGCCCAAGGAUGAGUGGUAUGGGUUUGGUUUCUGGUGGUGCUAGGCCAAGACACAAGGAGGUUAUCAGAGGGGCUGAACUGCUGCAGAAGUGAGUGUUGCCAGCCAUUCAGACAUUGGCAUUACAACCAGUUAUUUUUUUGAUUUUGGUCCUACAAUAUGAAGUACGCCUUUAAAAUCACUCUGGGAGAGGGGAGG